ACAUUCAGAGAAUUUAGCAGAGAUGCUUUAGUGCCUUCGGGAACUCUGAGACAGGUGCUGCAUGGCUGUCGUCAGCUCGUGUUGUGAAAUGUUGGGUUAAGUCCCGNAACGAGCGCAACCCUUAUCCUUUGUUGCCAGCACGUAAUGGUGGGAACUCAAAGGAGACUGCCGGUGAUAAACCGGAGGAAGGUGGGGAUGACGUCAAGUCAUCAUGGCCCUUACGAGUAGGGCUACACACGUGCUACAAUGGCGCAUACAAAGAGAAGCGACCUCGCGAGAGCAAGCGGACCUCAUAAAGUGCGUCGUAGUCCGGAUUGGAGUCUGCAACUCGACUCCAUGAAGUCGGAAUCGCUAGUAAUCGUAAAUCAGAAUGUUACGGUGAAUACGUUCCCGGGCCUUGUACACACCGCCCGUCACACCAUGGGAGUGGGUUGCAAAAGAAGUAGAUAGCUUAACCUUCGGGAGGGCGUUUACCACUUUGUGAUUCAUGACUGGGGUGAAGUCGUAACAAGGUAGGCGUAGUGCU
rnacentral:rRNA from 1 species